rnacentral:tRNA from 1 species
GUGGUGCAGUGGUAGGGCGGUCGAUUUCUGAUCGGAAGGUUGCAGGUUUGAUUCCUGCC